GUGCGGGCUGAGGGAGGAAGACUUGGUCUCUUUCGCUGUUGCCGGAAGCAAAAAAAGGACCUUUAAACAAGUCGGCCUUAGGCCCAGAUUGAAAAAAAACACGCGCUCUCAAAAGUGGGUCCACUCUGCAAGAGAUAGGAGGAAAGCAGGACAGCAGCUCCGAGCCCUCCGUCUACCGCUGUGUGGCCUUAGAUGCGCCCAUGUCCAGCAGCAAGAAGGCAGGGAGACGUCUGCGUCCAAGUCCCGAGGUGCGUCCUACAGCGGCAGAACUUGGAGUCGCCAAAAAGCUCCAAAAAUAAAAUCAAUAGCACGAUAAGAUGAAAGGACGGCAGAGGUGAUGCAAAAUGCUGAGGGAUGGCGAGCUCGCACGUGCCCACCGGCCUGUUUGGAGGAUGACCAGUUGAUUGGAAAAACACCAAAAAGAGCUUCUAAACCCCAAAUAAUCCCGCGACAUGAUUUUUUUCUUAACCCUUAAUUGCCUGACAAACAGCACUUUAUUACAGUCAGACCGCAGAGUGAGUUCAGCACGAGCCACUUCAGCAGGCCGAAGAGACUUUCUGUGUGCUUCAGGUAGCUAACUAACAAAAAUACAUCCAGUAAAAUUAACUGACUACAACUAAGCAAAAUGAGUCGUCAAACGAAAAAACACUCAAAACAAUAAUAACAGGUGCUGCUCGGUGAACGCACGUUUUUCAGACAGGCAGGUGUUUGACUGACAAUUGAUUGCUAAUCUACUGUUGCUACUGUUCAGGCUUUUCGUUUGAUAUUUUCUGCAUUGUGUUAUUCUUUGAAGGUAACUGUUCAACAGAUAUAUUUCUAAGAUCGAAAAAGAGCGGGGAAAUAGACACGCUGCCAACAAUAUGGACAGCAUGAAACCAAAAACCUUUCCUCAAGGACACAGUUACACACCGCAGCCUGGAUCUGUGGACUAUGUGGGGCUUCCUGUGACCAGGGGGGGAAACAUGGGCGCUGGCCAUCACCUCAACCGAAUCCAGAACCAAAUGAGAAAGAGAGGGAGUGAAAGAGAGAGAGAGACCUACAGAAGAAUCAGAGAGUGAGAAGACAGAGACAAAAACAGAGCGAGCGUGGAAUAAAUAA